GAUGAACGCUGGCGGCGUGCCUAAUACAUGCAAGUCGAGCGAACAGACGAGGAGCUUGCUCCUCUGACGUUAGCGGCGGACGGGUGAGUAACACGUGGAUAACCUACCUAUAAGACUGGGAUAACUUCGGGAAACCGGAGCUAAUACCGGAUAAUAUAUUGAACCGCAUGGUUCAAUAGUGAAAGACGGUUUUGCUGUCACUUAUAGAUGGAUCCGCGCCGCAUUAGCUAGUUGGUAAGGUAACGGCUUACCAAGGCAACGAUGCGUAGCCGACCUGAGAGGGUGAUCGGCCACACUGGAACUGAGACACGGCCCAGACUCCUACGGGAGGCAGCAGUAGGGAAUCUUCCGCAAUGGGCGAAAGCCUGACGGAGCAAGCCCGCGUGAGUGAUGAAGGUCUUCGGAUCGUAAAACUCUGUUAUUAGGGAAGAACAAAUGUGUAAGUAACUAUGCACGUCUUGACGGUACCUAAUCAGAAAGCCACGGCUAACUACGUG
rnacentral:rRNA from 1 species